rfam:Triticum aestivum genome assembly, contig: Triticum_aestivum_CS42_TGACv1_scaffold_500305_6BL
UUUGUACUCCCUCCGUCCCAAAAUUCUUGUCUUAAAUUUGUCUAAAUACGGAUGUAUCUAUUUACAUUUUAGUGUUAGAUACAUCUGUAUCUAAACAAAUGUAAGACAAGAAUUUUGGGACGGGGGGAAUACUAC